rnacentral:rRNA from 1 species
ACGCUCGACACCUACGGGAAGCAGCAGUUGGGAAUAUUGGACAAUGGAGGAAACUCUGAUCCAGUGACGCCGCGUGAAGGAAGAAGGUCUUCGGAUUGUAAACUUAUUUUGUCAGGGAAGAAAAAUGACUGUACCUGAAGAAAAAGCACCGGCUAACUACGUGCCGACAGCCGCGGUAAUCUGAGCGGGCUGGCAAGGC